rnacentral:sRNA from 1 species
AGCUGAUCCGAGUGCUAUGCCAUUACGAUGAAUUGAUCACAAUCACUUGCAGACUUUUUACUUCUCCACUGCCAUUGCUUCAUUUUCCCAGCUUUAA